UUUUUUUUCUGAAAUAAUACUGCCCCUUAAAAUAGAAACACGUGUUCUGCCGUGGGUGAGAAGGACCUGGAAUUUGGCAGUACUCAAGAGAAAAAAUGUGAAAUGGGCAAGCCAUUCCUUGGCAGACUGGACAUUGCUGGAAACAGUAUAACAAGCUUCAAAAGAGCCCCCUAUAAGCAAAACUUCAAAUUCUGAAUUGAGGAUUAAUGCUAUUUAUUACCAGUACAGUUUAUGGAUGUGUGUCAGGAAAUGCCAGGCUAGUGUUCGUAAGUUCAAGUUCGUGCACUGACAGUUUCUCUCUCUCCCCACUAUGCCUUCCUCUUGCACUCGGAUUUCUUGUCAUGCUUUCUGAGGAUGAAAAAUGCAUUAAUAAUGAAGGAAAGUGGAAUGCAGUCAGGAAAGCACUUUAUUCCUAAUUCCCAUGAUCUGGUAGUGUGCCUGUUCCCUUAGGAAUGAAAGGCAGUCUUCCAGUUUGGGCUUAAUAAGGGUAAUUGUGGAUAUUUUUGCUGUUGGUACAAAUUACUAAUUAAAUCAUUAUUAACAUUUGCCAUGUCUCCAUCAUACAAAAUAUGGGUAAGUUUUAACCAUGUCAUUACACACUACUAAAAAUGAAUGUGGCUCAGAGCUAAGAGGACAGCAAAUUUCUACAAGCUGAACUCCCCCCAGUGUGGCUUGGUUCUUGGCUAAAUUUAUUUCAUCUUAAAUAACUCAUGAAGGAUGACAUUUAAGUGACAAUCUGUUGAUAGCUAAUCACAAGCCUACAGUGUAUCAUUUCAAUGGAAUGUCUUGAUGUGCAAGUUAAGGUUAGUGUAACAAUUUGCUGGUUUAUGGUCUUGUUGAGGGAAACGAAGCAUAUGCAAGGCUUAGCUGUUCUCUCUUCCCUCUGUCUGGCAAGGUCUGAAAGCACAUGCCUAGGUAUAGAUGCAGUGUUCCCAGUUCUCACAUUGGUUAAUGUGUUACCAGCACAUAGUCCCGGGCCAAGGAAUGAUUUCAGAAUAUCAGUUUGCAUUUAAAACAUAAAUUCAAGCUUGGUUUCCAGAUUUUGUGACUGAGAGAUAAUGGAUGGUUAAUCCUAGCUCCAAGGCAAGAAUGACACUGAAGAUGAAGAUGUUACAGUGUAGCCACUCAUGUUUCUGAGAGACUGUUUAUGCAUAUGAAAGCUUGUCUUAAGUCGGUGGUCCUCCACCUCCACAGGUGUCCUUGCAGUUGUUUGUCACACCUUGCUGGAUCAGCAUGCUGGGGAAGGAUAGGGAACUAAUGCUCAGCAAGGAUCAAGGAGAGGAAAUGGGAGACACUGAUACAAAGGUCUCAUUUUACUGUUGACAAAUUGUAGCCUAAUUAGGAUUUACUUCUGCUUUUGCACAUAAUUUAAUUCCAGUGCCUAUAAGGAGUUUUUGAGGAAACAAAACCAAGGUUUUCAUGGUGGUGCGUGGCAAGGGCAUGUGAAAAAACAGGUGUAGCUUGAAAGAGGAGAUGCUCUGACUGGAUAUAAAGAAACAUCAUGAGGCAAAUUGAGCAUGGGAAAGCAUUGCCCAGUGAGGUUGUACAGUCUGUGUCAUUGGAAGUUUUAAAGAACCUGACUGUUUAGAGCCCUGAGGACAGGAGCCCUCCAGAGGCGCCUUUCCACUUGGAUUACCUCAUAAACCAGUAGAUGUAAUCUUUUUGGAUUUCAGCAAAGCUUUUGAAACUGUCUCUCACAGUAUCCUUCUGGACAAAAUGUCCAGCACACAGCUGGAUAACAGUGUGAUGCAAUGGGUGAGUAACUGGCUCAUGGGUCGGGCACAAAGCGUUAUAGGGAAUGGGGUGACAUUAGACUGGCGUCCUGUCCCCAGGGGAGUUCCCCAGGACUCCAUCCUUGUCCUGAGGUGACUUUAUAAUGCUAGUAUCCCCAGACAUCUGUUCUGUUUAUGCUGGAUAUUAAAUUCUACACCUUUAAGACUGUUCUGAGAGCGAAGGGGAGAUAGAAAACCCAGAAACUGUUUUCAGAAACUGCACUUGCUCCCCUGCAUUCUCUCUCCUGGACUUUGUUUUCUGCAGCACAGACAGUGAGAGAGAGCUCUCCUUUGCUUUUAGGUAGUUUUUUUUAGCCAGCUGAGGCAGGGAAGUUCCCUGGACUGUGAUUUUUCUUUUUCUUGGAACUGGUCAGCCCUGCUCUAGACUGAAAACAAAAUUUUCUCCCAAAUUUGCCCUAAACCAGGACCAUCCUCCACUCACUUCUCUUCAACAUCCGCAUUAACCACUUGGACACAGGACCCAAAGUUUGCCAAUGACACUAAAUUGGGAGAAGCUGUAGACUCCUUCAAAGGCAGAGCAGCCCUGCAGAGAGACCUUGACAAAUAAUUAGAGUUGGGAAAUCACCAAUUAAAUGAAGUUCAGCAAGGGAAAGUGCAGGAUUUGGCACCUGGGACAGGACAAUCCUGGUUGUGUGUAUGGAUCAGGUAAAAAGAGGCCUGAGAGAUGCACUGUGGAAAGGGAACUGGGGGUCCUGGUUGAUGGCAAGUUGAACAUGAGCCAGCAGUGCCCUGGCAGCCAGGAGAGUCAACCGUGUCCUGGGUACAUGAGGCACAGCAUCACCAGCUGGGCAAGAGAGGGGAUUGUCCUGCUCUGCUCUGCACUGAGGUGGCCUCACCUCCAGUGCUAGGGACAAUUUUGGGUGCCACAACACAAAAAAGAUAUUAAGCUAUUAGAAAGCAUCCAAAGGAGGGCCACGAGGAUGGUAAGUCACACAAUCAUGGAAUAUGCAGAUUUGGAAGGGACCCAUCAGGAUCAGUGAGUGGGGUGGCCUUAUGAGAUUACUUGAUCUGUUUGGCCUGGAGAAGAAGAGACUGAGGGGAGACCUCACUGUGGUCUUCAGCAGCCUCACAAUGGGAAGAGGAGGGGCAGGCACUGAUCUCUUCACUCUCAUGACCAGCGACAGGACUUGAGGAGAUGGCAUGAAGCAGAGUCAGGGAGGUUUGGGUUGGAUACCAGGUAAAGGUUCUUCACCCAGAGGGUGACUGUACAUUGGAACAGCUCCCCACAGAAGUGGCCACAGCACUAAGCCAGACAGAGUUCAAGAAGCAUUUGGACAGCACUCUCAGGCACAUGGUAUGAUUUUUGGGGUGUCCUGUGCAGGGCCAGGAGUUGGACACAAUGAUCCUGAUGGGUCUCUUCCAACACAGCAUAUUCUAUAAUUCUGUGAUUCUAUGGUGUUUUGAUGCUGUGAACCUAAAUGACAGCAAGGGCAGACAUCAGCAGUGUUGAAAAGUAACUGUCAUGCACUAAACAUUAAACACUGUAUUUUAAUCAAGACAGAUUUAAGUAGUUAAUCUGUGUUUUCAAAGAAACAUUAAAAAAUGUGGGAUUCCAAUUUAUUCUCUGGGGCAGGAACACCUUUACUGAUGGGAGAAGAGAACAGAAGGAAACUCUGAACUGCUUUAGUAUCUGUGUAAUUAAAUUUUUGGCAUCACCUCUGUGAUCACCCUCUGUCCUACUGAGAUGUUUUUGAAAAUAAAAAAAGUACAGGGUCACUUUUGUAAUAGGAUGUAGGUCCUUCAGAUGAAAUGAAAUUCAUUGUCUUGAGCCCCAAUGCUUUCCACUGCCAACUCUCUUCAACAUGGCACAUGUGCCCCAGUCUUGGGAACCUAACAGUCUGUCUCAAACUGUCCUUAAUAUUAUGAAAUUAAUCUUCCAUUUUCUUCUAUUCUUGCUUCUGUUUUCACCUCACCAUGAAGUGAUUUGUUGCAACAUACUUUACUUUUGUUUACUGCCCAGCUACUGGCCUAUAAUAAAGCAAGAAGACAAGGGUGUGUAAAUACCAAGAGUGUACUGUCAUUAAAAAAAGAGAGAUUGUAUUGGAUUUCACUUUCUAGACCAGAGACAGUAAACCACUACUUCUAAGUGAUGGAGCCAUGACAUUUUCUACUUGAAGGACAAGACAGAGAAGAAUUAGGUCCUCAGCUUUUGCUCUUGUCUCUGACUCCUGGUUAAGGUCAUGUAAUUAAAAUGAUGCUAUGAUGACAUAUAUACUUUUUUGUUUCGCAGAGGAUUAUGGCUUCAAAAAUUUACUUCAAAGGUGAUGUGGAUGUCCUGAGUGCUCUAUAAUCUUCAAAAAACACUGUUGUCUUGUUUGAGCUGUCACUACAGUAUUUGACAUGGAAACAGAAAAGAAAAAGAAAAAUGUGUAUUUUGGAGAAUGUGAAGAGAUUUGAAUCAGUUUAGAAGGAUAAUGUUUCUUUAACUGGAUAAUCGAUAUGAGACUUUCCUACCAAGUAUGAAAGGUUCCAUAUCAGUCACCUCUAGGCCAGUCUAAAAAAUAUUGCAAAUUAUUUAGGCAGUCAUUAAAUAUGACCUUUGUUCUUGGCAGCAGCACAAGGAAAGCAAGAAACAAUUAAGCAAGUGACUGUGGAAAGCACUACUGACUGAUUUCAACACUGAGUUUGUUUUCUGCUGUGAGAUGUUUUUUGCCUCUUGUAGUUUCAUUUUCCCAUGUUGGAACAAAGACAAAGAUAUCAUUUUAGUGCCUACAAAUCUAGUUACGUUGAUUAGCAUUAUACAUUUAGAACUGGCAACAGUUAUUUUCAUGCAGAGUGUAGCAUCCAGCAUUACUGUUUACAUUUUUAUGUUUCUAGGUUAUGAAUUUUUUAGUAAUUCUCUGAAAUUUGCAAAGUAAGCUAUAGUGUAUUGCUGAGUUCUAGAAAAAAAAAAAAAAAAAGUACUGGGCCAAAUGCUCCUUCAAGGCAUAAGAAAUUAUUAAGAAAAAUCUUUUGGUCCUUUGCACUUUCAUCUCACUGAGCUGAACCAAAACAAUUCCUCAAAGAAUGGCAUUGGACAUCUACCCUGACCACUGACAGGUGCUAAAGAGACUUUCCAAAAUGCCUAAGUAUUGAGCUACCAAGCUCCUCUUGAUUCUCAUGAAAUUAGGCAGCUCAGCACUUGGAAAUAUCCCACUAGGUUAACAUUUCUAAGAUGUUUCAGGAAGAUUCAGAAUCUUUUAACACAAGGACCCAAAUUUUAUUUUUAGACAUCUACUGAAAAAAAUUGUCUGCUUUUCUCUUACACUAAAUGCCUGCAGUAGGAUCCAAUACAGAAAAACCAACCUAGGGGAUCCUAUGAUCGAUUCUAAGAGAAUACACAUGGGAAACCUCUUUAAAACAAGUAUAUAACAGGCUAGUUUACCUUAAAUAUCUUACUUCUCAUCUCAGUUUUUGUGAAUGAGAUAAAAUAUUUUUGACAGAAGAAUUAUAAAUUUGAAUAGGUUAUGAGUCUACAGAUCUGUUUCAGCAGAUCUUCACUGGGAUAUUACCCUUGGAGGAUGAUAGCACUAUCAGCCCUGACGAAAGGAGAGAAAACAAAAAUUUACAGUCAUCAGAAACUCCAGGAAUUCAAGUACUGAAGUAACAACAUAUUCUUUCUGUGCAAAUGGUAAAAACUGGACAGCAAGGAGUAGGUUCCUCUAUAAAGUCAACCAAAAAUAGAGGUGUUUUGCAUAUAAUCACUUCUAUUUCAUCCUUUACAUUGUUUACAUAUCACAAGAAUUCCCGUUAACUAAUUUACAUGCACCAUUUCUAAUUAAAAUAUCUUGUGAAUUUAACAAAAAAGUCAAACUUACUCUUGCAUGGUGGGAGAACAGGCUGAGGAGAGGAUGGAUCUGAUGGAUGAGAGCAACAUAUCUGUUAUCAGACACUGUGCUUUAUAACAGAGGUUAAAAGAAUUGGAAUUAUCUUGUCACUCAAGGAGAAGAAUUAGAGAGGGAAUGUCAUGCCUCUUGAAAUGUGUAAGUCAUUGGAAAAGUGGAAUGAAGUACUAUUUAUCAGAAUAUUUCCUACGGAGAGGAUGAGGGUUUCAAAUGCAACAACGGAGACUUAAGUUACAUGUUAGGAGAAAAAGAGUUUAACUGUAAAGGCUGGGAGACAGGAGGAGGAGGCCAGAAAGUGGUCUUAAUAACAUCUGCUGCACGUGGAAAAGGUCUGGCUGGCUCUGCCACAAGGCAAAAGGAUGAACUAGAUGAGCUCCUGGAGUCAUUUCCAGCCCUCAUUGCUGUGAUUCUGAGAUUUAUCAUAUUAGAAAGCUUUUCUAUAGUUAUAUUGUCCACCAGCAGUAAUAUCCCUAUCAAAACCACGUUAUUCAUGGGACGCAUGAGCACAUGAGAACAGAAGUUUUCCGAGGACUGAAACACUGCAUCCAUCAUUUUAUAUCAUUUCUUAAUUGUAAAACAGUGGUGUGGUCUAGCUCAAGAAAUUUGGGAGUUAUCAAGAACCCUAUUAUCAGGAACCAUCUGUUUUAUUUCAAUGUUUAAAAGGUUAGAGGCUAGAUGUCCAGCAGUAGUUUCAUUUCUUCAUUUCUAUAGCCUAAACAGUCACUGAGAUGCUUGUUUAUGCAAAAAAAAAAAAAAAAA
ensembl:lncRNA